UGUGUGUGUGUGUGUGUGUGUGUGUGUGUAUGUGCGUGUGCGUGCACACACACGCACACACACACA
rnacentral:miRNA from 1 species